rnacentral:ncRNA from 2 species
CCCGUCUGCGCGCGUUUCGGUAACGGGAAUGCGGUGCAAAUCCGCAGCUGUCCCUGCAACUGUAAGCGGUGAGUGUGGGCUGCGCGCUUCCCUUGACGGGGAGCAGCCACUGGGGCCUUCGGGCCAUCCGGGAAGGCGAGCGCCGGAUACGUUGAUCCGUGAGCCAGGAGACCGACCGGGGCGUGUCGCUCUAU